rnacentral:rRNA from 1 species
UGGGGAAUUUUGGACAAUGGACGAAAGUCNUUUCCAGCCAUGCCGCGUGCGGGAAGAAGGCCUUCGGGUUGUAAACCGCUUUUGUCAGGGAAGAAAUCCUUUGAGCUAAUACCUCGGGGGGAUGACGGUACCUGAAGAAUAAGCACCGGCUAACUACGUGCCAGCAGCCGCGGUAAUACGUAGGGUGCAAGCGUUAAUCGGAAUUACUGGGCGUAAAGCGUGCGCAGGCGGUUAUGUAAGACAGAGGUGAAAUCCCCGGGCUCAACCUGGGAACUGCCUUUGUGACUGCAUAGCUUGAGUGCGGCAGAGGGGGAUGGAAUUCCGCGUGUAGCAGUGAAAUGCGUAGAUAUGCGGAGGAACACCGAUGGCGAAGGCAAUCCCCUGGGCCUGCACUGACGCUCAUGCACGAAAGCGUGGGGAGCAAACAGGAUUAGAUACCCUGGUAGUCCACGCCCUAAACGAUGUCAACUGGUUGUUGGGAAGGUUCCUUCUCAGUAACGUAGCUAACGCGUGAAGUUGACCGCCUGGGGAGUACGGCCGCAAGGUUG